AUUGACACUAGAUUGAUAGUUUCUUUCUACAAAUGAAGCACAUUUGAUAGCACGACCAGCAAGAGACAAAUGCGUAAUGCUUCUACAAGGAACCUUUCCAGACACAGGCUGAACACAACCAUGACUUUUGAGUGUGCUCCUCUUGUAACUCACAGUAUAGGAUGGUAAUCUUGGAUAGACUCCAUGAAUUUUGGGGCAGAGUACACCUGUAACUAGAUCCGAACGCCAGCUGGAAAUACUGACCAUCUCACUGAUUUAUCACAAUGUUAGACACUUGCUCACUUGCACCGGCAAAAGUCUCUGAAUGAGUGUAUGAAGAAGUGCCGGACCAAGAUAGAGACAGUGGUGUCGACCGUCGGAGCAAGAAAACCUG
rnacentral:misc_RNA from 1 species